rnacentral:misc_RNA from 1 species
GGAUAAAAGUCGUAACAAGGUUUCCGUAGGUGAACCUGCGGAAGGAUCAUUAAAGAAUCGCCCCGUUUUUUAUAAAUGGGUUCUAUUCCCAAACCGUGUAUACAUACCUUUGUUGCUUUGGCAGGCCGCCUCCGGGCGUCGGCUCCGGCUGAUAGUGCCUGCCAGAGGACCCAAACUCUGUGUUUAGUGAUGUCUGAGUACUAUAUAAUAGUUAAAACUUUCAACAACGGAUCUCUUGGUUCUG